CUUGAUCGAGCCGAGCCACAUCGGGUGGUCCUCGGGCCGGUCCUGUCCGUACGUCGCCAGCAGGGCCUGUGCCUC
rfam:Streptomyces sp. NBRC 110027 DNA, contig: TPA059803.